rnacentral:lncRNA from 1 species
UAUUUGAUUUGAGUCAGCGAACAAUAUAUUAAUUUUAAAAUGUCAGCUAAUUAUUUAUUUUUAUAAAUUUAUAAUUGUGAGACUUAUAUGGAUUAUACUAACUAAACCUACACAGAUAAACGACGCAUUAAAAUUUUGAAGUCAAAAUACUAUUAAUUGACUCAAAUUAUACAAAAUGAAAGGUUGAAUAGUAAAAUUAAAAUUUUAAAAGAUUGAAUAGUUAAUUCAAAAUAGGCUUCAGUUUAGGUAUGUUUUGUAUGUUUUUACCUGAUUUAUGAGUUAAUAUUGUAGACAUGGUAUAUGCACGGCGACAAAGUUUAAUAUUUUAAUGAGAAACUAUUGACACGACUAACACGAUCAUCAAAUAUGAACACAAAUUACUUUUUAUUGGUUAUUUAUUAAUGGCUAAAAUAGGUUUAACUUUCUGUCCCGUGACCGACCGUCGCUAGAGCAAGUGGCAAAGGGCUUGGCGGUUGGUACCCGAGACCCAAGUUCGAAUCUUAGUUGAUUCAUAUUUCCAGCUAAGUUAAUUUCUAAAUGAAAUAAAUGAAGCGGGUAGCGUGCUAUCUAUCUCUCAAAAAAAAAAAAACUUUUUGUCCGGUGGUAAUAGGCCCAGAAGACUAAUAAUAAGUUGAGUUGGGUGAAUCUAAUAAGUUGUUGAGUGUAAUUACGGUCCACAAAAAAAAUAACGGCGAGAGGUUCAACAACAGACCUAACGUCUAGAUGGCCGGUUGAGUCGGAUCGAAGCCUGUAAGUGCUGUGGACCUACGGUUGAGCCCUUAAGUGCGAUUUGUACGUUUCCUCAUAUCAGCACGUAUUUUUAGAGUUGUUGAUUAGAAUUUA